rnacentral:rRNA from 1 species
GGAUCCAGACUUUGAUCCAUGGCUCAGGAUGAACGCUAAGCGACAGGCUUAACACAUGCAAGUCGAGGGGCAGCGAGGGAGUGGCAACACUUCUGUCGGCGACCGGCGCACGGGUGAGUAACGCGUAUGCAACCUGCCCUUCACAGGGGGAUAACCGGGAGAAAUUCCGACUAAUACCGCAUACGUCCCCUUGGGGGCAUCCCCUGGGGAUGAAAGAAUUAUCGGUGAAGGAUGGGCAUGCGUGAUAUUAGGUAGUUGGCGGGGCAACGGCCCACCCAAGCCCACGAUAUCUAGGGGUUCUGAGAGGAAGGUCCCCCACAUUGGUACUGAGACACGGACCAAACUCCUACGGGAGGCAGCAGUGAGGAAUAUUGGUCAAUGGACGAGAGUCUGAACCAGCCAAGUCGCGUGAAGGAAGACGGAUCUAUGGUUUGUAAACUUCUUUAGUGCGGGAACAAAGCGGCGUCGUGACGCCGGAUGAGUGUACCGCAAGAAUAAGCAUCGGCUAACUCCGUGCCAGCAGCCGCGGUAAUACGGAGGAUGCGAGCGUUAUCCGGAUUUAUUGGGUUUAAAGGGAGCGCAGGCUGCGAGGCAAGUCAGCGGUCAAAUGUCGGGGCUCAACCCCGGCCUGCCGUUGAAACUGUUUUGCUAGAGUUCGAGUGAGGUAUGCGGAAUGCGUUGUGUAGCGGUGAAAUGCAUAGAUAUGACGCAGAACUCCGAUUGCGAAGGCAGCAUACCAACUCGCGACUGACGCUGAGGCUCGAAAGCGUGGGUAUCGAACAGGAUUAGAUACCCUGGUAGUCCACGCAGUAAACGAUGAAUACUAACUGUUCGGAGGGCGACCUCUGAGUGGUAAAGCGAAA